rnacentral:rRNA from 1 species
GCCAAACAGCUAGCUUAAGCACCCAAAUAACCAAAUAAUAUAGAUAAUUGAACAAAGCCUAAAUAAAUAAACCAAAUCAUUUUCAUGCCCUAGUACGGGAGACGGAAAAGGCCAACCCUAAGCAAUAGAGAAAGUACCGCAAGGGAAAGCUGAAAGAGAAGUGAAACAACCCAUAUAAGCAUUAAAAAGCAGAGAUUAAACCUCGUACCUUUUGCAUCAUGAUUUAGCCAGAACCCCCAAGCAAAGAGACCUUUAGUUUGAAAUCCCGAAACCAGGUGAGCUACCCCGAGACAGCCUAUUUAGGGCCAACCCGUCUCUGUGGCAAAAGAGUGGGAAGAGCUCCGGGUAGAGGUGAUAGACCUACCGAACCUGGUGAUAGCUGGUUGCCUAAGAAGUGGAUAGAAGUUCAGCCUCGUGUACCCCCCGUCAACCGGAUAGACAAUAGAAGCUAGACGUAAGAGAAAGGCACGAGAGUUAGUUAAAGGGGGUACAGCCCCUUUAACCAAGGAUACAACCUUAACAGGAGGAUAAGGAUCAUAUUUUGUAAAACUAACCGUUUUAGUGGGCCUAAAAGCAGCCACCUGAUUAGAAAGCGUUAAAGCUCAAACGGAAUGAAGUUUAUUAUACUGAUAACACGUCCCACUCCCCUAAAUUUAUUAGGCCCCCCCAUGCCAACAUGGGAGAGACUAUGCUAAAAUGAGUAACAAGAAGAUGACCUUCUCCCAAGCACAAGUGUAAACUAGAUCGGACCAACCACUGAUGACUAACGAACCCAAUCAAAGAGGGAAAUGUGGCCAACAGGAAAAACAAGAAGAACCCACAACCCAACCCAAGAUCGUUAACCCCACACUGGAGUGCUAUUAACAGGGGAAAGACUAAAAGAAAAGGAAGGAACUCGGCAAACAUAAGCCUCGCCUGUUUACCAAAAACAUCGCCUCCUGCAAAAAACUAAGUAUAGGAGGUCCAGCCUGCCCAGUGACUAUAAGUUCAACGGCCGCGGUAUUUUGACCGUGCAAAGGUAGCGCAAUCACUUGUCUUUUAAAUGAAGACCCGUAUGAAUGGCUAAACGAGGGCUUAGCUGUCUCCCCUUUCCAGUCAGUGAAAUUGAUUUACCCGUGCAGAAGCGGGUAUAUAACUACAAGACGAGAAGACCCUUUGGAGCUUAAGGUACAGACCCAAUCGCGUCAAACAACUUGCCAAAGAGCCCGAACUUAGCGAAUACUGGAAUCUUACCUUCGGUUGGGGCGACCACGGAGGAAAAAAUAGCCUCCGAGUGGACCGGGAUUAUUACCCUAAAGUCAAGAGGGACACCUCUAAGCCACAGAACAUCUGACCAAAUAUGAUCCGGCCACACAGGCCGAUCAACGAACCAAGUUACCCUAGGGAUAACAGCGCAAUCCUCUCCCAGAGUCCAUAUCGACGAGGGGGUUUACGACCUCGAUGUUGGAUCAGGACAUCCUAAUGGUGCAGCCGCUAUUAAGGGUUCGUUUGUUCAACGAUUAAAGUCCUACGUGAUCUGAGUUCAGACCGGAGCAAUCCAGGUCAGUUUCUAUCUGUAAUGCUACUUUUCCUAGUACGAAAGGACCGGAAAAGAGGGGCCUAUGCCUAAGGCACGCCCCACCCCUAAUUGAUGAAAACAACUAAAUCAGAUAAAGGGUGAGCCAAAGUAUAGCCCGAGAUAAGGACGUA